ACUGGAGAGUGGAAGCGAGCUGGAAAGUGAAACCGGCGCCGGGGGACGCUCGGCGCUGGCGGGCGUUGGCGGCGCCCGCAGCAGGUUUGUGGGGGCCUGAGGCCCGAGAGGGUCAGUGGUACCGCGGGGCCCGCUGGCUGCGCACGGGCAGUUGCCAAGCGCUCAGCGGCAGAGUCUCACUUGGGGCGUACUGAGAAAAAACCUCGCGUUUGGAGAGCGACUCGCCUGGUGGUGUGGCAGCAAAGGGGAGAUGCUGCUGCCUGGCUCGCCUUGCUCUUAAAAAAAAAUCCUCUUGCCACCUAUAACGCUGGUGUUUUGAGGGAUCCCAAAGAAGGGUGGGGCGGGUUGUGUUGAGAAAAUUGUAAAGUGAAUGUUGUUGAAAACCCCUUGUCCCUGUUUCUUUCAGUUGUUUUAAGAAGCUGUUAAUAUGUUCCAUGUCUAGCGUUCCUCAAUGAGGGCUCCCCCGCCCCCCCCACCCCCCAUUCAACUUUGGACAGUGAAGCUGUGCUGGUUGGCGUCACGUUUGUUUCGUUUUAGUUGUGACUUCACAGUGCUGUAAAGGGAACAAUCAAUGCUAAUAUUGGGUGUCAGAUCCUCCAGGUAAAACUUCCAAACCCGCUCCUUAGCUGCUCACCUUCCACCGAAAUGAAUCGGAGUUAUGACUAAAUCCCCUAAUUGGCUUUGAAUAUUCCAACCUUUGUGUAUUUUCCCUCCCAAAUCCAAAUUGGGAGUGUAAGUUAGUUUAACAGUGCCCUUAAAUUUUACUAUUCUUGCUAAUAUGUUUGUAAUUUAUAAUAUACUUACCAUAUUAUUUUUUCUAAAGCUUUGUUCAGUCUCACGGUAGAAGUUGUUUGAGAAAUGUAUUGCUUAGGAUCUGGAGGGAAGGGUCUCAUUCUAGGGUAGUGAAGAAAAAAAGUAUUUUUAACGGUUAAACUAUGUUUAGGCCUGGUCUCCACUAGAAAAUUAGAUCAGUUUAACCAAGUCAGUCAGGGGUUAGGGCUGGUCUACCCUUAAAGUGCUGCUGGAGUGCUUCAGUAUAGACAUCUACACCAACAGAAGGGGUUCUUUCGUCAGCAUAGGUAAUCCACUUCCCCGAGAGGCGGUAGUCAGGUCGACGGGAGAAUUCUUCAGUCAACCGAGUGCUGUCUACAUGGGGACUUAGGUCAGUUUAAUUACUCCACUUGGGUAUGGAUUUUUCUCAUCCCUGAUGGAUGUAGUUAAACCUACCUAAUUUUAUAAUGUAGACCAGACCUUAGUGAAACUGCUUUCAAAGCUGGUUUAACCCAUGUACAUUACCCUUCUAGGAACUAUGUCAAUGAAUUUACCAUGGCUCUUUUGGGGAGAGGAGGAGGUGUAAGUAGGGUGUCCAGAUGUCCCGAUUUUAUAGGGACAGUCCCAAUAUUCGGAGCUUUUUCUUAUAUAGGUGCCUAUUACCCCUCACACCCUGUCCCAAUUUUUCAUACUUGCUGUCUGGACAUCCUAGGUGUAAGUGAACCUUCCAAGUUGGAACCAUGUUUGAGGUUAACCACCAGCAGGUCUCAAAUACUGCUCUGUAAUAAAUUUAAAAUACUGUUCAGAAUCUUCGUGGUAUGGAUGUAAAUUGUGCUGCAUGUUCUUAAACUCAAUCUAUACUAAAUGUUUUUUCUUAGAUUUCCACUAGUGUAGCUCCACUGGUGGUAGCAAUAGUAGGAGUGCCAGUAUAAUAGAUCAGUUUGCCAGUGUUUAACUGCUGCUGCGUUUAAAACGCUGCCGACUGCCUAGGGAUUCCACUGCAAACUCUCAGAAAAGGUUAGAGUAGGCCUGAUACUCCUUAAGAUAGUUUAAAGCUGGUAGUUUGGACAGAGUUAAUGCUACGGUUAGUUUCCUUCAGUGUAUGCUAGAUACAAUUGGAAACCUCUACUUUUUUUUUAAUGUGAUGUAAGUUUUACUUCUCGUUAUAUGCCUAUCUCUAAUAAUAAAAAAUCCUGUAAGAGCUGUUGCACACAUAUAUAACGUCCUUUACCGUAUGGACACCUUAUAAAAACAGAUGCAUAAUUCAGCCUCUGAGGAAGAAGCCACCUCUGGUUUAAGCUGCUUACUUAGUGUUCCAGUCCCAGUGGAUGACUUCCAAGCAACCAUUGUCAGUGACACAUGAUUAUUUAGCAAAAUCCAGCAUGAACAGAAUUUAUAAUCUGUCCUAAAUGGGGCAAGACUGUUACUGAACUCCUUUCUAGUGGAGAGCAGACUUGGCAACUAUCAGCCCUCCACAAGUACUCCUGUUGUUUUUGCAGAUACAGACUAACACGGCUGCUACUCCUGACAGCCCUCCGCUCUACCCACCCAUGAAUUUGAAUCUGAGUUUCAUUAGCUUUAGUGUCAUUGCCGAAUGUAAUGUGAAGGGGUUGGGGAGGGAGGGAGAGGGACUUAGUAGCUGGCCCUCUGCCCAUGUAGGACUUUAAAAAUAAGUACUGUGAACUGGACUCUGACCUUUUGGUUAAGGAAUACCAUGUGAACAAUCAGCAUGUUGUCACCAUUUCCUCGAAAAACAUCUCCCUAUCUCAUACAGUAUGGCAAGAAAGUCCUGUUGGGUCACUGGGCCAAUCUAUCAAAAACUAGGGGUGGCAGGGUAUUAAAAAGCUUGUUUUGGCAUUCUUUUUCUAGAUAAGAGUUAAUAUUUGAUGGAUGGAUUUCAGAGCUUUGCUGCAGGCUAGGCACAGUUUUCUGCAGUGCUGAGUUGCAAGGUCAAUUUAGCAUUAUAAAUUGGACCCCCCAGAAUUAUGCAGCAAGUGCUUCUAGUUUUUUGAAGCAGGAAACUAAGUUAUUUUGUCCUUUUUCUGGACCAAUACUAAGGUAAAUAUUUUUAUAACACUUUACACUGUAUGACACUAAAAACAAUUUUCAGAAAUAAAUUAAAUUUACUUUUACAAAUUGUUUCCUUGCACACCUAUAUGUGUUUUGCCUUCUUGCAGUUAGUCUAGUAUAUAGUCCAGCUCUGCCUGCGUCAUUCUCAGUAUUGGGCAACCUGUUAGAUGAACUGUGGAGACAUGCACUGUGUACAGGGACCAAGAUCAAGAAGGUAGCACGUGCAGGCUUAUAGGUUUUAUUUUUAUUUUUAUUUUUUUUUUGUAUAAGGUAUCACGUUUGGUUCCUGUCAGUAAUUGCUAUAUCACUAAAUGAGAUGUUUAGUUAAUGUUGGGGCAUGUGUGUCUUGCAGAGUGAAAAUAUGCCCUUUUAGUCCUUGGUUUAUCAUUGUUAAAUAAAGCUUUCAAUAGUUAUUAAGGUGGUAUUAUUUUUUAAACAUCUCUAAACGAAUCUUUGGUGUAGGGGAGAAAUCUUAAUUUGACAAACUGAAUAAACAAAUUCAUAUCUGGGAAAGCCAAAAGCAGUUUCUGAAAACUAAACUUUUUAGUUAGCUAGUGUUCUCAUGGAUGUGCUAAAGCAUUUUGUAAUAUCUUAAAGGUGAAGAUACAUUGCUAUGGUUUUACUAGGAAACAACAUAGCUGAAAAAGGGAAAAGUUCUUCUGAUUUAAAAUGCUAGCAGUUUUUAACUAGAGGGUCACAUACUCUGUUGCUUUCUCUAGGCUGACCACAAUGUAUGGAGCCGCUGGUGUGUCUCCAUUCUACCUCACAAACUCUGUGUGCCUCCCUCCUUCCCCUUUUUAUUUCAAGGACUCCCUGCAGCUCCCUCUAGUCUGUGCCUGGGGCUCUGUGCCCCUUUGUUUUCCCCAUGCUCACCGUGGCAGAGGCUCUGUGUGGCCGUAAUUGUAAUAUAUCAGGGACUGUUGUUGGGGGGCCCACAGAACCCUUGUGUGGCACUCUGUACCUGAAAGUGGCACUCUGGAACCUGCAUAUUCACCACUGUCAUAUAAUUGAUAUGUUUCAUACAAAGUAUGCCUUGUGAGGUAUUAUUUUAAAAGUCUUGAUCUGUUGAACACUAAUAUCCUCCUGUUGGGUUGUAUGUACUGUCUUUGUAUGUGAAGUUAUGAAAUUUUGUUGUGUGUUACUGAAAUAUGUUGUGAGGCUGGGAACACCCACAACUAGCCUUUCAGGUACAAAAGUGGAGUAGCAAGACCCACUGAUGGCCCAUUGAAGGGAAUCCACUCUCCCAACAACCAUCUUAGAGCAUGUAUACAAUAGAGACAGCUUGACUCACCUCAUAUCAAAAGAUCUUUCCAGCAAGUUGGAAGAAACUGUAAAAGAAGGGGAAGUGACCUCAUGACUUGCUCUCACUCCCCUCACAACUCAACACCUGGAAACAUGUCUGGAGGACAAAGAUUUUGAACUGGGAGGGUGGUCCUGGGCUGGAAGGCAGUUCCAGCCUGUGCCUUGAAGAUCUGUAGUCUGUUUGCACCAUCUAUCAGGGUGAGAUACUGAUUGAUUCAAAUCCUGUUUAAUUUAUAGAACUCAGACUGCAAAUUUAGUUUUAUUUUUUAGGUAACUUACUUUGACCGUUAUGCUUACUACCUAUAAUCACUUAAAGUCUAUUUUUCUGUAGUUAAUAAAUCUGUUUUAUAUUUUA